rnacentral:rRNA from 1 species
UACGUAGGGGGCAAGCGUUGUCCGGAAUCAUUGGGCGUAAAGCGCGUGUAGGCGGCCCGAUAAGUCCGCUGUGAAAGUCCAGGGCUCAACCCUGGGAUGCCGGUGGAUACUGUCGGGCUCGAGUCCGGUAGGGGAGCAUGGAAUUCCUGGUGUAGCGGUGAAAUGCGCAGAUAUCAGGAGGAACACCAGCGGCGAAGGCGGUGCUCUGGGCCGGAACUGACGCUGAGGAGCGAAAGCGUGGGGAGCGAACAGG